rnacentral:rRNA from 1 species
AUUGAACGCUGGCGGCAGGCUUAACACAUGCAAGUCGAACGAGUGGCGGACGGGUGAGUAAUGCUUGGGAAUCUAGCUUAUGGAGGGGGUUAACUACGGGAAACUGUAGCAAAUACCGCGUAGCAUAGGAUGAGCCCCAGGGGGAUUAGGUAGUUGGUGGGGUAAAGGGUCACCAAGCCGACGAUCUCUAGCUGGUCUGAGGGGAUGACCAGCCAACCUGGGACUGAGACACGGCGCAGACUCCUACGGGAGGCAGCAGUGGGGAAUAGUGCGAAAUGGGGGCAACCUGACGGAGCCAUGCCGCGUGAAUGAAGAAGGCCUUAGGGUUGUAAAGUUCUUUCGGUAGCGAGGCGUUAACUACAGAAGAAGCACCGGCUAACUCCGUGCCAGCAGCCGCGGUAAUAC